AAUCUAAAAAUUGGUCCUCAAUCCAGGUCCUGGAGAGCCGCAGGAUUCAGGACCUCCUGCCUUUUGUUGUCACUCAGCAUUUGAGCAGCGCAGCGAUUGGCCAGUUAAAGCAUUUAAUUACGCAGCUAACGCAGAUCACCUGAUUUCUCGGAUCUGAAUCGGUUGCUGAGUUUAUGGCGAGAAACAAGAAGACCAGUAGACCAUGGUUCUCUGUGACCAGGACUGAAGAUCACUCAGCGAAGAUUUAACAUAAGAAGGCUGCUGUGCUUCAGGAGGCAAAGACUGCAGUUUAGACUACAGACCUAUUCAAAGCACUGCUGUAUAGAUGCAGGGGGCGGCCCAGCAUGUGCGGAGCGUCUGGAGCUGUUUCGGUGCCAGUGGGACGCGGGCCGGGUCUGCGAGAGCCACGUUUUUCCCAGGGCCACAUAGUCUUGAGUUGCUAACUUCUCCUUUCCCAAGACCGCUGUGGGAGUUUCCUGGAUUUUGUUUUUAAACUGUCGUCGUCGUCAUUCUCCAAGAAAGCCGCUGAUAUAAAUUAUGAACAUAACAAGAGCCGAGAACUGUGCUAUUGCCCAACCAUUUCCAAGUAAUAAAAGCACGGUUUGCAUUUUAUUUUUUAUUUUUUUGUUCUUGAACAUCCAUGUAGCUGAUAACAUUUCCAUAAUUGUUAUACAAUAAUAAUAGCCAAAUUAUUAGACUAAACAAAGAUAUUUAUUUAUUAAAAUAUUUUUAUUAUUAUUUACAAUACAGAGAGCUGGAGGGUGUAUUUUGUUAUAAUUAUUAAAAUCAUCUCUUAUCUUCAUGGCUUUUGAAGACAUAAUUUUGAUAAUUAUGAUGCUGGAAUAAUGUUAUUCAUAAUGUUUGAGACCUGUGCUCUCCCCACUCAGUUUUCACCAUGCUCAGCUGAACACGUCAAACAGUGUUUGUUUCAAACUCAGUAAAGAAGUUUGACAGCC